CCCUUAGAUGUUCGGGGCCGCACGCGCGCUACACUGAAGGAAUCAGCACGUCUUUCUCCUUGUCCGAAAGGACUGGGUAACCCGCUGAACCUCCUUCGUGCUAGGGAUUGGGGCUUGUAAUUCUUCCCCAUGAACGAGGAAUUCCCAGUAAGCGCGAGUCAUAAGCUCGCGUUGAUUACGUCCCUGCCCUUUGUACACACCGCCCGUCGCUACUACCGAUUGGAUGGUGUAGUGAGAUCCUCGGAUUGGUCCCGGAGCGGCCUCUGGUCGUGCCGGAGUGCCGAAAAGAAUGUCGAACUUGAUCAUCUAGAGGAAGUAAAAGUCGUAACA
rnacentral:rRNA from 1 species